rnacentral:rRNA from 1 species
ACGACCUUCGGGAGCUUGUACAGGUGCUGCAUGGCUGUCGUCAGCUCGUGUCGUGAGAUGUUCGGUUAAGUCCGCUAACGAGCGCAACCCUCGCUGUGUGUUACAAGUGUCACACGGAACUGCCGGUCAUAAACCGGAGGAAGGUGGGAUGACGUCAAGUCAGCAUGGCCUUUAUAUCCUGGGCUACACACACGCUACAAUGGGAAGGGACAACAGGUUGCGAAGCCGCGAGGCGGAGCCAAUCCAGCAAAACUUCCCUCAGUUCAGAUUGCAGGCUGCAACCCGCCUGCAUGAAGUUGGAGUUGCUAGUAAACGCAGGUCAGCCAUACUGCGUUGAAUACGUUCCCGGGGCUU